AGUCGAGGGGCAGCAUGGUCUUAGCUUGCUAAGGCCGAUGGCGACCGGCGCACGGGUGAGUAACACGUAUCCAACCUGCCGUCUACUCUUGGACAGCCUUCUGAAAGGAAGAUUAAUACAAGAUGGCAUCAUGAGUCCGCAUGUUCACAUGAUUAAAGGUAUUCCGGUAGACGAUGGGGAUGCGUUCCAUUAGAUAGUAGGCGGGGUAACGGCCCACCUAGUCUUCGAUGGAUAGGGGUUCUGAGAGGAAGGUCCCCCACAUUGGAACUGAGACACGGUCCAAACUCCUACGGGAGGCAGCAGUGAGGAAUAUUGGUCAAUGGGCGAGAGCCUGAACCAGCCAAGUAGCGUGAAGGAUGACUGCCCUAUGGGUUGUAAACUUCUUUUAUAAAGGAAUAAAGUCGGGUAUGCAUACCCGUUUGCAUGUACUUUAUGAAUAAGGAUCGGCUAACUCCGUGCCAGCAGCCGCGGUAAUACGGAGGAUCCGAGCGUUAUCCGGAUUUAUUGGGUUUAAAGGGAGCGUAGAUGGAUGUUUAAGUCAGUUGUGAAAGUUUGCGGCUCAACCGUAAAAUUGCAGUUGAUACUGGAUAUCUUGAGUGCAGUUGAGGCAGGCGGAAUUCGUGGUGUAGCGGUGAAAUGCUUAGAUAUCACGAAGAACUCCGAUUGCGAAGGCAGCCUGCUAAGCUGCAACUGACAUUGAGGCUCGAAAGUGUGGGUAUCAAACAGGAUUAGAUACCCUGGUAGUCCACACGGUAAACGAUGAAUACUCGCUGUUUGCGAUAUACUGCAAGCGGCCAAGCGAAAGCGUUAAGUAUUCCACCUGGGGAGUA
rnacentral:rRNA from 1 species